GACGAAGGAUGCAAGCGUUAUCCGGAUCCAUUGGGUUUAAAGGGCGCGUAGGUGGCCUUAUAAGUCAGUGGUGAAAUCUCUGGGCUUAACCCAGAAAUUGCCAUUGAUACUGUAGGGCUUGAGUAUAGAUGCCGUUGGCGGAAUAUGACAUGUAGUGGUGAAAUACAUAGAGAUGUCAUAGAACACCGAUUGCGAAGGCAGCUAACGAAACUAUAACUGACACUGAGGCUCGAAAGUGUGGGGAUCAAACAGG
rnacentral:rRNA from 1 species